GAUGAACGCUGGCGGCGUGCCUAAUACAUGCAAGUCGAGCGAACAGACGAGGAGCUUGCUCCUCUGACGUUAGCGGCGGACGGGUGAGUAACACGUGGAUAACCUACCUAUAAGACUGGGAUAACUUCGGGAAACCGGAGCUAAUACCGGAUAACAUGUUGAACCGCAUGGUUCAACAGUGAAAGACGGUUUUGCUGUCACUUAUAGAUGGAUCCGCGUCGCAUUAGCUAGUUGGUAAGGUAACGGCUUACCAAGGCAACGAUGCGUAGCCGACCUGAGAGGGUGAUCGGCCACACUGGAACUGAGACACGGUCCAAACUCCUACGGGAGGCAGCAGUAGGGAAUCUUCCGCAAAGGGCGAAAGCCUGACGGAGCAACGCCGCGUGAGUGAAGAAGGUCUUCGGAUCGUAAAACUCUGUUAUUAGGGAAGAACAAAUGUGUAAGUAACUAUGCACGUCUUGACGGUACCUAAUCAGAAAGCCACGGCUAACUACGUG
rnacentral:rRNA from 1 species